GCAUGGCUCAGGAUGAACGCUGGCGGCGUGCUUAACACAUGCAAGUCGAACGAACCUUCGGGUUAGUGGCGGACGGGUGAGUAACGCGUGGGAAUCUGCCCUCAGGAGGGGGAUAACGGCUGGAAACGGCCGCUAAUACCCCAUAUGCCGAGAGGUGAAAUGAAUUUCGCCUGAGGAUGAGCCCGCGUCUGAUUAGCUAGUUGGUGUGGUAAUGGCUCACCAAGGCUUCGAUCAGUAGCUGGUCUGAGAGGAUGAUCAGCCACACUGGGACUGAGACACGGCCCAGACUCCUACGGGAGGCAGCAGUGGGGAAUUUUCCGCAAUGGGCGAAAGCCUGACGGAGCAACGCCGCGUGAGGGAUGAAGGCCUCUGGGCUGUAAACCUCUUUUUUCAAGGAAGAAGACCUGACGGUACUUGAAGAAUAAGCCACGGCUAAUUCCGUGCAGCAGCCGCGGUAAUACGGGAGUGGCAAGCGUUAUCCGGAAUUAUUGGGCGUAAAGCGUCCGCAGGCGGCCCUGAAAGUCUGUCGUUAAAGCGUGGAGCUCAACUCCAUUUAAGCGAUGGAAACUACAGGGCUAGAGUGUGGUAGGGGCAGAGGGAAUUCCCGGUGUAGCGGUGAAAUGCGUAGAUAUCGGGAAGAACACCAGUGGCGAAGGCGCUCUGCUGGGCCAUAACUGACGCUCAUGGACGAAAGCCAGGGGAGCGAAAGGGAUUAGAUACCCCUGUAGUCCUGGCCGUAAACGAUGAACACUAGGUGUCGGGGGAAUCGACCCCCUCGGUGUCGUAGCCAACGCGUUAAGUGUUCCGCCUGGGGAGUACGCACGCAAGUGUGAAACUCAAAGGAAUUGACGGGGGCCCGCACAAGCGGUGGAGUAUGUGUGUUUAAUUCGAUGCAACGCGAAGAACCUUACCAGGGUUUGACAUCCUGCGAAUCCCUUGGAAACGAGGGAGUGCCUUCGGGAGCGCAGAGACAGGUGGUGCAUGGCUGUCGUCAGCUCGUGUCGUGAGAUGUUGGGUUAAGUCCCGCAACGAGCGCAACCCACGUCGUUAGUUGCCAGCAUUCAGUUGGGCACUCUAGCGAGACCGCCGGUGAUAAACCGGAGGAAGGUGUGGAUGACGUCAAGUCAUCAUGCCCCUUACAUCCUGGGCUACACACGUACUACAAUGCUACGGACAAAGGGCAGCAAGCUCGCGAGAGUUAGCAAAUCCCAUAAACCGUGGCUCAGUUCAGAUCGUAGGCUGCAACUCGCCUACGUGAAGGAGGAAUCGCUAGUAAUCGCAGGUCAGCAUACUGCGGUGAAUACGUUCCCGGGCCUUGUACACACCGCCCGUCACACCAUGGAAGUUGGCCACGCCCGAAGUCGUUACUCCAACCCUUGUGGAGGAGGACGCCGAAGGUGGGGCUGAUGACUGGGGUGAAGUCGUAACAAGGUA
rnacentral:rRNA from 1 species